AUUGAUACCUAUCUAAAUUUUUGAUGGGUUAGGUAGUAAUAAUUUUGAAAAUAGGUACAUUGAAAACACGUAGUUUUUUUUUCAAUUACUUACUUAUUUUGAAAAUUGAUCAAUUCAUUCACAUUCCAACAUUCAGUGUAAAAGUUUCAAUGGAUCGAAAUUGGCAAAAAAAAAUUAAUGAAGUGAUAGGUAAAAUUUUCUUCUACGCCUAAUUUUCUCUAAACCAGCAUUGCAAUGCUGAAAAUACCUGUUAUCUUUUUAAUGUUCACCAUAACUUGGACGAACGCGGAAGACGCUAAAGUUAGAACAUAUCAUUUAUGCGAAGUUGGAGCCUGUAACAGAAAAUGCAUGGACAAAUUUGGUGUAAGUAUCUUAGGCUGGCCAGUAAUAGGCAUAUGUCAUGGCGAACUCAAAAAAUGUAAAUGUUAUGCAUUCAAUCAUGAUGAACUUGUGCUGGGACCUAUAAGGAAAAGAGCACAUGUUGUAGACUCGGGAGAAGAUCGGUGAUCUAACUGACGGAGGAGGGAGACGAAUUUAAAUAUUGUAAAAUGUUUGAGAAAAAUUAAAAUUCGGUAAAA